AUGAAGCUAGGGUUAGGGUUGAACCGAGAUGUGGACAUGAAGUUAGGGUUGAACCGAGAUGUGGACAUGAAGUUAGGGUUGAACCGAGAUGUGGACAUGAAGCUAGGGUUAGGGUUGAACCGAGAUGUGGACAUGAAGUUAGGGUUGAACCGAGAUGUGGACAUGAAGCUAGGGUUAGGGUUGAACCUGGAUGUGGACAUGAAGCUAGGGUUAAGGUUGAUAAGGUUGAGGUUAAGGCUGGUGCCUCCUGUAAUAAACCUGUGUUCUUUUAAAACAUUUCCAGAUUUUUUAAGAACCCCCUCAAUGUCUGCCUAAUGUGUUUGUAGUCUAUACAUGCUACACAAGUCAGUACAUCUGCCUAUUAUCAUCCUGUUGGAUCUACAGUACCAAUAAAUUGAGGUGUUGCUAAUUUAUGACUUGAGUCUUACUAACCCCUUUACUGAUACGAUUUCAUAUCCUCGGGCUAUUUUCUCUCUUUCAAUUCUCUGAGAGAAUAAGGAAUUCCAGUGGCAAAAGCUCUCAAAAACCUCAGAUCAAACGUAUUCUCGGCUGAAUUCCCUGUCAGAAUAAAAUCAUUUGUUCCUCAGCGCUAACACUCUUGCUUGACGCUUUGUCCCUCCCUGGAACUCUCUCUCUCUCUCUCUCUCUCUCACUCCCUCUCUCACUCUCUCUCGCUCUCUAACUGGUGUGUGUGUGUUUUAUGUGGUUUCAACAGCCAUUUCCUUUGGGCCAAUCUGUCCCUGGUAAUGUUGGACGACACACAGGUUAACGUUAGCAACUGCUCUGUAUGCACUUUGCGGUUUUACAAGUGUGCCCUUUCUCAUCAGCUUCUGGAGUGAAACUAGCAUUGUGUGCAGGCCAACAUUACAAGCGGGGGGCAAGACGGGGUCAGAAGAACCUAUUUCAAAGCCUCCAUAAUUACCUUGAACGAUAGUCUUAUAAAUGUCUGAUAUGAUAGGAUUCAAUGUGGGAGGAAAAAUGCUUUGUUGGCAGCAAAGGAGAGAGAGAGAGAACUUGUGUGGCUUCAAAAGAAGAAAGUUUUCCUCCUGAAUUAUUUAAGCAAUCAACACUCAUAUACUUCUAAGAUUAAAGGAGAGGUUUUCA
rnacentral:lncRNA from 13 species